GCCGGGCACGGUGGCACGUGCCUGUAGCCCCAGUUACUCGGGAGGCUGAGGUGGGAGGAUCACUUGAGCCCAGGAUUUCUGGGCUGUAGUGUGUUAUGCCGAUCGGGUGUCCGCACUAAGUUUGGCAUCAAUAUAGUGACCUUCCGGGAGCUGGGGACCACCAGGUUGGAUGAACCGGCCCAGGUCAGAAACGGAGCAGGUCAAAACUCCUGUACUGAUCAGUAGUGGGAUCGCACCUGUGAAUAGCCACUGCACUCCAGCCUAGGCAACAUAGCGAGACCCCAUCUCU
rnacentral:SRP_RNA from 1 species